rnacentral:lncRNA from 12 species
CGUGGGCGCACCUGCACGUGCUGCUGCGCUCAUCUGUGCCGCUGCUGAGGUGCCAGCACCUGCCUCCGAGCCGCCUCCGCUCGCGCUGCCCACGGCCCGCCCUGCUGGGAGCAGAUUCCGCAGGCUGGGCUCCCCACACAGCUCCCGUGCGUGCUGGUGCCCAUGUGGGGGUGAGGUGUGUGCCCGGUGUGUGCCGUGCAGAGGUGUGUGCCUACGGCCUGACCGUACAGGUGUGAGGUGUGUGCCUGGUGUGUGCCCGGUGUGUGCCUGGUGUGUGCCGUGCAGAGGUGUGUGCCCACGGCCUGGCCGUGCUUGUGGCUGUAAAUUAAUUUAAAAUGUCAGUUUUUUU